ACGCUAGCUACAGGCUUAACACAUGCAAGUCGGGGGGAAACGGCAUUGAGUGCUUGCACUCUUUGGACGUCGACCGGCGCACGGGUGAGUAACGCGUAUCCAACCUUCCCAUUACUGUGGGAUAACCUGCCGAAAGGCAGACUAAUACCGCAUAGUCUUCGAUGACGGCAUCAGAUUUGAAGUAAAGAUUUAUCGGUAAUGAAUGGGGAUGCGUCUGAUUAGCUUGUUGGCGGGGUAACGGCCCACCAAGGCAACGAUCAGUAGGGGUUCUGAGAGGAAGGUCCCCCACAUUGGAACUGAGACACGGUCCAAACUCCUACGGGAGGCAGCAGUGAGGAAUAUUGGUCAAUGGACGGAAGUCUGAACCAGCCAAGUAGCGUGCAGGAUGACGGCCCUAUGGGUUGUAAACUGCUUUUGUAUGGGGAUAAAGUUAGGGACGUGUCCCUAUUUGCAGGUACCAUACGAAUAAGGACCGGCUAAUUCCGUGCCAGCAGCCGCGGUAAUACGGAAGGUCCAGGCGUUAUCCGGAUUUAUUGGGUUUAAAGGGAGCGUAGGCUGGAGAUUAAGUGUGUUGUGAAAUGUAGACGCUCAACGUCUGAAUUGCAGCGCAUACUGGUUUCCUUGAGUACGCACAACGUUGGCGGAAUUCGUCGUGUAGCGGUGAAAUGCUUAGAUAUGACGAAGAACUCCGAUUGCGAAGGCAGCUGACGGGAGCGCAACUGACGCUUAAGCUCGAAGGUGCGGGUAUCAAACAGGAUUAGAUACCCUGGUAGUCCGCACAGUAAACGAUGGAUGCCCGCUGUUGGUACCUGGUAUCAGCGGCUAAGCGAAAGCAUUAAGCAUCCCACCUGGGGAGUACGCCGGCAACGGUGAAACUCAAAGGAAUUGACGGGGGCCCGCACAAGCGGAG
rnacentral:rRNA from 1 species